rnacentral:rRNA from 1 species
UACGUAGGGUGCGAGCGUUGUCCGGAAUUAUUGGGCGUAAAGAGCGUGUAGGCGGCCAGGUAGGUCUGCUGUGAAAACUCGAGGCUUAACCUCGAGAUGUCGGCGGAAACCAUCUGGCUAGAGUCCGGAAGAGGAGAGUGGAAUUCCUGGUGUAGCGGUGAAAUGCGCAGAUAUCAGGAAGAACACCCGUGGCGAAGGCGGCUCUCUGGGACGGUACUGACGCUGAGACGCGAAAGCGUGGGGAGCAAACAGG